AGAGCAGUGUAUGCAGCCAUAUAGUGAAUGCUUUCAUUUGCACCCUUAACUCUGAAUAUUCACUUUUAAAACAUCCAUCCGUCAUCCAUCCAGUGAGCUCAGGAGAGUGGCUGCUUAACUUCUGGGGGUUGUAGAAAAGGAAGAAGAAUCGGCAGAGACCGUUUGUGGCUAGCAAAGCCUAAAAUAUUUCCUACUCGAUCCUUUGCAAAAAAAGUUUGCCCACUCCUGUAGUCAGCAGCUCCCCUACUGUGCACAGUCUGUGUGCCAUCUCAUCUAGUAAAGUUGUCCAGAGAGGAAAGAUAGGCCAAAAUAGUUCAAUAUGUUGUCUUACUGGGAGGACAACAACUUAAGCCACAAAGCCCUGAGUUUGACCCUAGAACUCUGUGGCUACUGAUGACUCAUCUUGAAAAUUAUCAGAUUGAAUCUUCUCUACUGGUUUGAUAACAACUGAUGAGUGGAAAAAGAACACCAAUCAGAUGCGCAUGCUUAAUAAGCAGCCUCCUUAUCCCCCUCUGCAAAUUUGUUCUUUGGAUCAUCUACACUUCCCUGUAUGUUGAAGAAGAUAUGUUAUCCAUGCAAUCCUUGUGGAGUGCUUGAUUAAAAAGUGGAUAAACGGUC